GACGAACGCUGGCGGCGUGCUUAACACAUGCAAGUCGAACGAUGAAGCCGGAGCUUGCUCUGGUGAAUUAGUGGCGAACGGGUGAGUAACACGUGAGUAACCUGUCCUUGACUCUGGGAUAACUGCGGGAAACUGUAGCUAAUACCGGAUACGACCCUCGGAGGCAUCUCCUGGGGGUGGAAAGAAUUUCGGUCAAGGAUGGACUCGCGGCCUAUCAGCUAGUUGGUGAGGUAAAGGCUCACCAAGGCGACGACGGGUAGCCGGCCUGAGAGGGUGACCGGCCACACUGGGACUGAGACAUGGCCCAGACUCCUACGGGAGGCAGCAGUGGGGAAUAUUGCACAAUGGGCGCAAGCCUGAUGCAGCAACGCCGCGUGAGGGAUGACGGCCUUCGGGUUGUAAACCUCUUUUAGCAGGGAAGAAGCGAAAGUGACGGUACCUGCAGAAAAAGCACCGGCUAACUACGUGCCAGCAGCCGCCGUAA
rnacentral:rRNA from 1 species